rnacentral:rRNA from 1 species
UUGACCUCAAAUCAGGUAGGACUACCCGCUGAACUUAAGCAUAUCAAUAAGCGGAGGAAAAGAAACUAACAAGGAUUCCCCUAGUAACUGCGAGUGAAGCGGGAAGAGCUCAAAUUUGAAAUCUGGCGGUUCUUGACCGUCCGAGUUGUAAUCUAGAGAAGUGCUACCUGUGCUGGACCGUGUACAAGUCUCCUGGAAUGGAGCAUCACAGAGGGUGAGAAUCCCGUCUUUGACACGGACUGCCUGUACGUUGUGGUGCGCUCUCGAAGAGUCGAGUUGUUUGGGAAUGCAGCUCAAAAUGGGUGGUAAAUGCCAUCUAAAGCUAAAUAUUGGCGAGAGACCGAUAGCGAACAAGUACCGUGAGGGAAAGAUGAAAAGAACUUUGGAAAGAGAGUUAAACAGUACGUGAAAUUGCUGAAAGGGAAACGCUUGAAGUCAGUCGCGUCGGCUAGAAAUCAGCCUUGCUUUUGCUUGGUGUACUUUCUUGUUGAUGGGUCAGCAUCAAUUUCGACCGUCGGAUAAAGUCGUCGGGAAUGUGGCAUCUUCGGAUGUGUUAUAGCCCGGCGUCGCAUACGGUGGUUGGGAUUGAGGAGCUCAGCACGCCGCAAGGCCGGGUCUCUUGACCACGUCCGUGCUUAGGAUGCUGGCAUAAUGGCUUUAAUCGACCCGUC